CCUACGGGUGGCAGCAGUGAGGAAUAUUGGUCAAUGGCCGGAAGGCUGAACCAGCCAAGUCGCGUGAGGGAUGACGGCCCUACGGGUUGUAAACCUCUUUUGCCGGGGAGCAACGGGCGCCACGUGUGGCGCCACUGAGAGUACCCGGAGAAAAAGCCCCGGCUAACUACGUGCCAGCAGCCGCGGUAAUACGUAGGGGGCGAGCGUUAUCCGGAUUCACUGGGUGUAAAGGGAGCGUAGACGGCCAUGCAAGCCAGGGGUGAAAGCCCGGGGCCCAACCCCGGGACUGCCCUUGGAACUGCAGGGCUGGAGUGCGGGAGGGGCAGGCGGAAUUCCUGGUGUAGCGGUGAAAUGCGUAGAUAUCAGGAGGAACACCGGCGGCGAAGGCGGCCUGCUGGACCGCGACUGACGUUGAGGCUCGAAAGCGUGGGGAGCGAACAGGAUUAGAUACCCCAGUAGUC
rnacentral:rRNA from 1 species